UAUCUCAUUCUCUUUUUUCAGUUCGUAUUAUUGUUCUUGAUUCUGUUUUUGCAAACGUCUGCCUGCUCUGAGUCUCAGCAGGUACCUUCUUCUUCUUCUUCCCAACAUUCAAGUCCAAUGAUAAGAGAAGUGCAGCUGGUUCCGAAAUCGACUUCGGAUCGUCUUCUCGAGAAGUUCUUUGAUGCUACACAGUAUGACUUUGAUUAUAAUGAGCAGAGUGGAUUGUGGUCUCCCCCUGUGCAGCGUAGUGUGUUCUUGAGUUCACAAGGUAAAAUAUUCACAGAACAUGAAAUGCACGCCAAGCUUACAACUUUAAUGGCUGCUCAAGCUCGUUCUACAACACACAACAAAAUUUGUUGCCGAGCAUUCUGGUGCUCUUGAAGCAUAUCUUGGAAGCCAGCUUAACCUUAUAUUGAAGAGGAUUGCAGGUCAAGACACAAGUAGGUAGCAAACAAGAAUUAAGAAGAAACAUGGGAUCCUCAGAAAUUUAGAAACCCAAUUGUAGUUUCUUUCCUCUUAUGUAAAUUGCUCGUUGUUCAAAGUUCUAAAAAGGAAAAUGAUAAUCGAGGGUGCAAAUAUUUUGUCAUC